GGCUGCGUGGUGGAGUGGUAACACCUCCGCUGUCUCUCGUCGUACAAUACACAAUGCCGCCGGCUUCGUGUAUUGCACAACAAGUCAGCGGAUGACGUGGGUUCGAAUCCCGCCGCAACCA